UAGCAGCCCUCUCCCCGCUGCCCUGUCCUGGCCGAGGCAAAGGCCGCGUGCGCUCCGCGUCUGCCAGGCUUUAGGGCUGCGCGGACACUGGGUGGGUGGUGGGCCGAGGCGACCGGAAGGUCCUGGCCGCCUUUCCGGUCUCCUCAGCACCCUGGAGCGCCGCCCUCGGGUUUCGGUCUCCUGGAUCUGCGGGUCGGUCUCGGCGGGCGGAUUACUCCUCGCCCACAACCUCGAGGCCCCGGGGUCAACCGCGCCCUCCGGGCCGGCAACCCAGGGUUUAGUCAGAUUCCUCCUGACCCACCGCUUCUGGGAAAGAGGCGCCUCCCGUCAGGAGGAUGCUGAGUUCCUCAUGACUGGACCAGUGAGUGUCCACUCCCUGGUCCCUGGCGAGAGAGGCGGGACCCCCACGCCCUCCUGGCGCUCUUUGCAGAGAUGUUCCUCAGGCCCAAUCCGGGAUUUGGGAUGUCUGUGCGUGCUGUGGAGCAGAGAGUUUGCAACAUGGUCUCACUUUGUCACCCAGGCUGGAAUGCAUUGGCAUGAACACGUCUCACUGCAGCCUCAACCUCCCAGGCUGAAGUGACCCUCCAACUCUGCUUUCACAGUAGCUGUGAUAUGGUUUGGCUGUGUCCCCACCCACAUCUCAUCUUAAAACCCAGUGGGAGGAGGGAUGUUCUCCCUUGGAACCAGGCCACCAUUCUAUGAGGAAGCCAAGCAGCCACAUGAAAAGGCCGUAUGUAGACAUUCUAACUGACAAUACUAGCUAAGGUUCCAGCUACUCACCAGCAUCAACUAUCAGACAAAUUCCUAUCAUUAAUAGAAGAAACUAUAUGCCAAGUGACAGCCAGUGAAGCAGAACAACAGGAGAAGACGGCGAAGCCAGAAGCAAAUUAUUUCAAUGGAAGAAAAAUCCCCUCUCCAGGUUGUUUUCAUUGAAAAGAGAGAAGAAUCAAAUAGACGCAAUAAAAAAUGAUAAAGGGGAUAUCACCACCAAUCCCACAGAAAUACAAACUAUCAUCAGAGAAUACUACAAACGCCUCUACGCAAAGAAACUAGAAAAUCUAGAAGAAAUGGUUAAAUUCCUCGACACAUACACCCUCCCAAGACUAAACCAGGAAGAAGUUGACUCUCUGAAUAGACCAAUAACAGGCUCUGAAAUUGUGGCAAUAAUUAAUAGCUUACCAACCAAAAAGAGUCCAGGACCAGAUGGAUUCACAGCCGAAUUCUACCAGAGGUACAAGGAGGAACUGGUACCAUUCCUUCUGAAACUAUUCCAAUCAAUAGAAAAAGAGGGAAUCCUCCCUAACUCAUUUUAUGAGGCCAGCAUCAUCCUGAUACCAAAGCCGGGCAGAGACACAACCAAAAAAGAGAAUUUUAGACCAAUAUCCUUGAUGAACAUUGAUGCAAAAAUCCUCAAUAAAAUACUGGCAAACCAAAUCCAGCAGCACAUCAAAAAGCUUAUCCACCAUGACCAAGUGGGCUUCAUUCCUGGGAUGUAAGGCUGGUUCAAUAUAUGCAAAUCAAUAAAUGUAAUCCAGCAUAUAAACAGAACCAAAGACAAAAACCACAUGAUUAUCUCAAUAGAUGCAGAAAAGGCCUUUGACAAAAUUCGACAACCCUUCAUGCUAAAAACUUUCAAUAAAUUAGGUAUUGAUGGGACGUAUCUCAAAAUAAUAAGAGCUAUCUAUGACAAACCCACAGCCAAUAUCAUACUGAAUGGGCAAAAACUGGAAGCAUUCCCUUUGAAAACUGGCACAAGACAAGGAUGCCUUCUCUCACCACUCCUAUUCAACAUAGUGUUGGAAGUUCUGGCCAGGGCAAUUAGGCAGGAGAAGGAAAUAAAGGGUAUUCAAUUAGGAAGAGGAAGUCAAAUUGUCCCUGUUUGCAGAUCACAUGAUUGUAUAUCUAGAAAACCCCAUUGUCUCAGCCCAAAAUCUCCUUAAGCUGAUAAGCAACUUCAGCAAAGUCUCAGGAUACAAAAUCAAUGUACAAAAAUCACAAGCAUUCUUAUACACCAAUAACAGACAAACAGAGAGCCAAAUCAUGAGUGAACUCCCAUUCACAGUUGCUUCAAAGAGAAUAAAAUACCUAGGAAUCCAACUUACAAGGGAUGUGAAGGACCUCGUCAAGGAGAACUACAAACCACUGCUCAAUGAAAUAAAAGAGGAUACAAACAAAUGGAAGAAUAUUCCAUGCUCAUGGGUAGGAAGAAUCAAUAUCAUGAAAAUGGCCAUACUGCCCAAGGUAAUUUAUAGAUUCAAUGCCAUCCCCAUCAAGCUACCAAUGACUUUCUUCAUAGAAUUGGAAAAAACUACUUUAAAGUUCAUAUGGAACCAAAAAAGAGCCCGCAUUGCCAAGUCAAUCCCAAGCCAAAAGAACAAAGCUGGAGGCAUCACGGUACCUGACUUCAAACUAUACUACAAGGCUACAGUAACCAAGACAGUAUGGUACUGGUACCAAAACAGAGAUAUAGAUCAAUGGAACAGAACAGAGCCCUCGGAAAUAACGCCGCAUAUCUACAACUGUCUGAUCUUUGACAAACCUGAGAAAAACAAGCAAUGGGGAAAGGAUUCCCUAUUUAAUAAAUGGUGCUGGGAAAACUGGCUAGCCAUAUGUAGAAAGCUGAAACUGGAUCAUUUCCUUACACCUUACACAAAAAUUAAUUCAAGAUGGAUUAAAGACUUAAACGUUAGACCUAAAACCAUAAAAACCCUAGAAGAAAACCUAGGCAUUACCAUUCAGGACAUAGGCAUGGGCAAGGACUUCAUGUCUAAAACACCAAAAGCAAUGGCAACAAAAGCCAAAAUUGACAAAUGGGAUCUAAUUAAACUAAAGAGCUUCUGCACAGCAAAAGAAACUACCAUCAGAGUGAACAGGCAACCUACAAAAUGGGAGAAAAUUUUUGCAACCUACUCAUCUGACAAAGGGCUAAUAUCCAGAAUCUACAAUGAACUCAAACAAAUUUACAAG
rnacentral:lncRNA from 1 species